rnacentral:tRNA from 1 species
GUAUUUAUAGUUUAACUAAAAACAUUAGAUUGUGGUUCUAAAAACAAAAGUUAAAAUCUUUUUAUCUACC